GAUGAACGCUGGCGGCGUGCCUAAUACAUGCAAGUCGAGCGAACAGACGAGAGUGCUUGCACUCUCUGACGUUAGCGGCGGACGGGUGAGUAACACGUGGGUAACCUACCUAUAAGACUGGGAUAACUUCGGGAAACCGGAGCUAAUACCGGAUAAUAUCUAGCUUCGCAUGAAGCAAUAGUGAAAGACGGUUCUGCUGUCACUUAUAGAUGGACCCGCGGUGUAUUAGCUAGUUGGUGAGGUAACGGCUCACCAAGGCAACGAUACAUAGCCGACCUGAGAGGGUGAUCGGCCACACUGGGACUGAGACACGGCCCAGACUCCUACGGGAGGCAGCAGUAGGGAAUCUUCCGCAAUGGACGAAAGUCUGACGGAGCAAUGCCGCGUGAGUGAAGAAGGUUUUCGGAUCGUAAAACUCUGUUGUAAGGGAAGAACAAGUACGUUAGUAACUGAACGUACCUUGACGGUACCUUACCAGAAAGCCACGGCUAACUACGUG
rnacentral:rRNA from 1 species